UACGUAGGGAGCAAGCGUUGUCCGGAAUCAUUGGGCGUAAAGCGCGCGUAGGCGGCCCCGUAAGUCCGCUGUGAAAGUCAAAGGCCUCAACCUUUGAAAGCCGGUGGAUACUGUGGGGCUAGAGUCCGGAAGAGGCGAGUGGAAUUCCUGGUGUAGCGGUGGAAUGCGCAGAUAUCAGGAGGAACACCAAUAGCGAAGGCAGCUCGCUGGGACGGUACUGACGCUAAGGCGCGAAAGCGUGGGGAGCGAACAGG
rnacentral:rRNA from 1 species